UUGACGGGGCCGCACAAGCGGUGGAGCAUGUGGUUAAUUCGAAGCAACGCGAAGAACCUUACCAGGUCUUGACAUCCCGAUGCUAUUUCUAGAGAUAGAAAGUUACUUCGGUACAUCGGUGACAGGUGGUGCAUGGUUGUCGUCAGCUCGUGUCGUGAGAUGUUGGGUUAAGUCCCGCAACGAGCGCAACCCUUAUCAUUAGUUGCUACGCAAGGGCACUCUAAUGAGACUGCCGGUGACAAACCGGAGGAAGUGGGGAUGACGUCAAGUCCUCAUGGCCCUUAUGGGUAGGGCUUCACACGUCAUACAAUGGUCGGUACAGAGGGUUGCCAAGCCGCGAGGUGGAGCCAAUCCCAGAAAGCCGAUCGUAGUCCGGAUUGUUCUCUGCAACUCGAGAGCAUGAAGUCGGAAUCGCUAGUAAUCGCGGAUCAGCAUGUUGCGGUGAAUACGUUCCCGGGUCUU
rnacentral:rRNA from 1 species